UUUCGCAAUGCCCGAAAGGGUGACGAAGCGACGCCGCGUGUGGGAAGAAGGCCUUCGGGUUGUAAACUACUGUCGGGAGUUAGGAAAUGUAAGGGUGCUAAUAGUAUCCUUGCUUGACUAAGGCUCCGGAGGAAGCCACGGCUAACUCUGUACCAGCAGCCGCGGUAAUACAGAGGCGGCAAGCGUUGUUCGGAAUUAUUGGGCGUAAAGAGCACGUAGGCGGCCUUGUAAGUCAGUUGUGAAAGCCUUCUGCUUAACGGAAGAACAGCAGCUGAUACUGCAAGGCUAGAGUGCGGAAGGGGAGAGUGGAACUUCUGGUGGAGCGGUGAAAUGCGUAGAUAUCAGAAGGAACACCGGCGGCGAAAGCGACUCUCUGGUCCGUAACUGACGCUGAGUGUGCGAAAGCUAGGGGAGCAAACGGGAUUAGAUACCCCGGUAGUCCUAGCCGUAAACGAUGGGCACUAAGUAGAGGGGUUUUA
rnacentral:rRNA from 1 species